GCCCCCGUAGCUCAGUGGCGGAGCACCUCCAUGGCAGGGAGGGGUCACGCGGUCCGAUUCUGGUCGGGGGCUCCA
rnacentral:tRNA from 1 species